CUGUGUGGAUUCGAUGGCCUGGCAUGUCAGACGCACAGAAGUAUAAGGCUUUAGUAGACACCGGUGCACAAUGUACUCUAAUGCCAUCAAGCUAUAAAGGGCCAGAACCCAUCAGCAUUUAUGGAGUGAUGGGGGGAUCCCAAAAGUUAACUGUAUAGGAGGCUGAAGUGAGUCUAACCAGGAAUGAGUGGCAAAAACGCCGUAUUGUGACUGACCCGGAUGCUGCGUGUAUCCUUGGCAUAGAGUCUCUCAAGAGAGGAUAUUUCAAGGACCCAAAAGGGUUCCGGUGGGCUUUUGGCAUAGCUGCCUUAGAGACAGAGACCGGAGGUUCAGUGUCUAUAGGG